rnacentral:tRNA from 1 species
AACUAUUUUGGCAGAUUAUUGUGUUAGACUUAGGAUCUAUUUAUGUAAUUUUAUUACAAGUAGUA